GUUCCAAUAAGACUACAAAAGAAUUGAAAG
rnacentral:other from 16 species